CAAUAGCGUAUAUUAAAGUUGUUGCAGUUAAAAAGCUCGUAGUUGGACUUCUGCGGGUGGCGGCCGGUCGUGCUCGAAACGGGCGUGAAUUUGGCGUGCUGCCCGCAUCUUUGGGGAGAUUGUGCGUGGCAUUAAGUUGUCGUGCAUGGGAUUCUCAUCAUUUACUGUGAAAAAAUUAGAGUGUUUAAAGCAGGCCUUUGCCUUGAAUACAUUAGCAUGGAAUAAUAAGAUAGGACCGUUGUCUAUUUUGUUGGUUUACAGAUGUCGGUAAUGAUUAAUAGGGAUAGUUGGGGGUAUUCGUAUUCAGUUGUCAGAGGUGAAAUUCUUGGAUUUUCGGAAGACGCACGACUGCGAAAGCAUUUACCAAGGAUGUUUUCAUUAA
rnacentral:rRNA from 1 species